rnacentral:rRNA from 1 species
UACAGAGACCUCAAGCGUUAUCCGGAAUCAUUGGGCGUAAAGCGUACCGAUAGGUGGUCUUGAAAGUUUUGGGUAAAAGCCAGAAGCUCAACUUCUGAGUUUGCUCAAAAUACUGCAAGACUUGAGGGGCAAAGAGGAGAUUGGAACGAACGGUGUAGUAGUGAAAUGCGUUGAUAUCGUUCGGAACACCGAAAGCGAAGGCAGAUCUCUGGGUGCCACCUGACACUGCUAGGACGAAAGCGUGGGGAGCGAAUGGG